AGGUUCCGGAGAUGGUGCUGUUGUCAAACUCAAAACCCGUAGCCGCUCGCUAGCACAUCGCUAAGCGAGCCUGUAGCGAGUACUCGCUAAGCCUUCGCUAGGCGAGGCAGGGGCGAACGUAGCAGUGGCUGUUUUUUUUUCUUUUUUGGUUUUGUCUUAUGUUUGUCUUAUUAUAAUCACGCAUUAUUUGGCCAUGUAACUGCUGUGUUUAUUUUGUGGUGCAAUUUUCAAUUGCACCUUAUCUCGGUGUUCUAACCCGUGUGCUGAAUUGUGUAAAGGCUUACAUAUUCCCGAAGAGACGGCCGGCUAGGUAUUCCACUUUAUUUGUGGGAUACCCUUAUGGAGAUGGAUUCUGAAUUACUUAAUUUUAAUGUGGAGAUACAUCCUAAAUUAUCUAGCUGAUUUUAAUGUAUUGAUU
rnacentral:lncRNA from 1 species